rnacentral:lncRNA from 1 species
UUUUCCUCACCCCUUCAAACUGUCGGGGAGACCCUGCCCUUCACCUAGCUCCCUUGGCCAGGCAUGAGGGAGCCAUGGCCUUGGUGAAGCUACCUGCCUCUUCUCUCGCAGCCCUGAUGGGGGAAAGGGAGUGGGCACUGCUUGUGGUUUAGGUUCCCCUCUCCCUUUUUCUUUUUAAUUCAAUUUGGAAUCAGAAAGCUGUGGAUUCUGGCAAAUGGUCUUGUGCCCUUUAUCCCACUCAAACCCAUCUGGUCCCCUGUUCUCCAUAGUCCUUCAUCCCCAAGCACCACUGUACAAAGUGGGGACCAGCCCCCUUCCCUGCCUGUGUCUCUUCCCAAACCCCUCUUUAGGGGUGACAAGAAGAGGAGGGAGGAGAGGACACGAUCCCUCCUCAGGCAUCUGGGAAGGCCUUGCUCCCAUGGGCUUUACCCUUUCCUGUGGGCUUUCUCCCUGACACAUUUGUUAAAAAUCAAACCUGAAUAAAACUACAAGUUUAAUAUGAAAAAAA